ensembl:lncRNA
GCAUGUAACCAUGCAGCUGUUGCUGCUCAUCUCUUGGGAAAGUGAUGUAUAUUGCCUGUUCCUUAAGAAUUGUUGGUUGGUAGAAAGCAGUUGGGUUAGAAGGGCCCUGAAGCUCCCACCACCAUGAAAUGGAUGCGUUGGGUCGGGAUCUGUCCUCCCCGUGUCCUUCUGCAUGAUGUGGGAACAGUGCAGUGUGUGCACAGCAGGGAGCAGUGUUCCAUCUCGUGGUGCUGUGCUGUUGGCUGGAUCUGAGGGUGGAGGCAUUUCCCUCCUUUUGGGUUUCUCUCUCACAUCUCCGUGGCACCACUAUGGCACACAGUGGUGACAUCGCUCCGAGCUGCUGUCUGACUUUGGCUCUGGCAGCAGAGGAUGCACUGAAUCCCACAGUGUCUGUUGGGGCUGAAGGGGUUGAAGAGCAGCCCGUUGUGAGAAGGAGCCCCAGGGGACAGCGCUGACAGCACCAGCACCUGGAGAUGGAGCUGCAGAGAGCUCAGAGUUACUUCUGGGGACAGAUUUCAGGUUUUGGAUAAAGAGAUUUCUGCUCAUACGGACGGGUUCCUGCUUACGGUCACAGAAUGUUGCCCGUGGGGACAGAUGCCUCUUCCAGGCAAGAAAUUCCUUUCUAGAGGGACAGAUUUCAGCUUACCAUCAUGGGAUUCAUUUCAAGAGGG